rnacentral:rRNA from 1 species
AGCAGCCGCGGUAAUUCCAGCUCCAAUAGCGUAUAUUAAAGUUGUUGCAGUUAAAAAGCUCGUAGUUGAAUUUCGGGGUUCUUCCGUUGGUCGGGCUAUCCAGUCUGUACUAGCGUGUAGAAUUCCUACCUUCUGGGGAACCAUCAUGUUAUUAAUUUAGCGUGGUGGGAAACCAGGACCUUUACCUUGAAAAAAUUAGAGUGUUCAAAGCAGGCUUACGUCUGAAUACAUUAGCAUGGAAUAAUAGAAUAGGACGGUGGUCCUGUUUUGUUGGUUUCUGAAUUCACCGUAAUGAUUAAUAGGGAUAGUUGGGGGCAUUAGUAUUCAAUUGUCAGAGGUGAAAUUCUUGGAUUUAUUGAAGACUAACUUCUGCGAAAGCAUUUGCCAAGGAUGUUUUCAUUUAAUCUAAGAACGAAAGUUAGGGGAUCGAAGACGAUCAGAUACCGUCGUAGUCUUAACCAUAAACUAUGCCGACUAGGGAUCGGACGAUGUUAAAUUUAUUGACUCGUUCGCGCCUUAC